rnacentral:lncRNA from 1 species
AACUGCACUAAAACACAACACAAAGAAAACAUAUUUUAAUCAGUUGAACCAGAAGAUAAUCGAUGAAAGACUAAACAAAGUUUAAACGGUAAGCAUAAAAAAAACCACGCACCUGGGAUGCCGCAAGAGAGAAAAAGAAGAAGAGGUGGAGAGAAAAAGAAGAGGUGCCGCAAGCGAGAAAAGGAAGACGCCGCAAGAGUAAAUGGAGAAGACACUGACGUCUAUAUUGACAUAAACGUCGGUUAUUUCACUAAUAUGACGUCCAAGUUAACAUUUCAUCUGACCUUUUGAAUACCAUUAGACGUCGGUGUCUAAGGGAGUCGACGUCUAGAAAGCUAAAACGAUUGACGUUUGAUUUCUUGUCAGGGAUGUUGACGAAAGUUGUCAUGGGGCGCCGACGUCUAUAAUGAUGAACAUAAUUACUUGCAGACACAUAGACGUGGGUGCCCCUGCUACCCGACGUCUAUGUCCCUCGAGUUUGGUGAACCUAAUUAAUUACAGGCACACAGACGUUGAUUCCACUGAACACCGACGUCGAAGUUGAAGAUUUUUUGUCUUCCCGCCUUCCAUUCAGGCCGUAGACAUCGCCUUCUGACUACGCGACGUCUAAGCGUCUGGGAAUUAGGUAGAGAGAAUUAAUUGCAGCCCCAUAGACGUCGGCCCCCCG